AGUGAACGCUGGCGGUAUGCCUAACACAUGCAAGUCGAACGGCAGCACAGUAAGAGCUUGCUCUUACGGGUGGCGAGUGGCGUACGGGUGAGGAAUACAUCGGAAUCUACUUUUUCGUGGGGGAUAACGUAGGGAAACUUACGCUAAUACCGCAUACGACCUACGGGUGAAAGCAGGGGAUCUUCGGACCUUGCGCGAUUGAAUGAGCCGAUGCCGGAUUAGCUAGUUGGCGGGGUAAAGGCCCACCAAGGCGACGAUCCGUAGCUGGUCUGAGAGGAUGAUCAGCCACACUGGAACUGAGACACGGUCCAGACUCCUACGGGAGGCAGCAGUGGGGAAUAUUGGACAAUGGGCGCAAGCCUGAUCCAGCCAUACCGCGUGGGUGAAGAAGGCCUUCGGGUUGUAAAGCCCUUUUGUUGGGAAAGAAAAGCAGCAGGUUAAUACCCCGCUGUUCUGACGGUACCCAAAGAAUAAGCACCGGCUAACUUCGUG
rnacentral:rRNA from 1 species